AAUGUGAACUCUAUUUUUUUUUUUUUAGGGUUAAGAACAAACUAUAUAAAUGUUUUUUAAAAAAAGUCUUAGAGUUUUAUUUUCAAACAUGUUUGUAGUUUAG